GAUGAAGAACGUAGCGAAAUGCGAUACGUAAUGUGAAUUGCAGAAUUCAGUGAAUCAUCGAGUCUUUGAACGCACAUUGCGCCCCCUGGUAUUCCGGGGGGCAUGCCUGUCCGAGCGUCAUUUCUGCCCUCCAGCCCGGCUGGGUGUUGGGCGCUGUCCCCCCGGGGACACGCCCCAAAGGCAGUGGCGGCGCCGCGUCGGGUCCUCGAGCGUAUGGGGCUUUGUCACCCGCUCGGGACGGACUCGUCGGCGCUGGUCUUCCUCCAGGCGACCCUUCGGGGCUCGUCUUCCUUCGGUUGACCUCGGAUCAGGUAGGGAUACCCGCUGAACUUAAGCAUAUCAAUAAGCGGAGGA
rnacentral:misc_RNA from 1 species